rnacentral:rRNA from 1 species
AAGCGCUCAUGACCAGACUUGGGCCCGGUGAAUCACCCAGCGUUCUCGCUGGGGCACUUUGCCGGGCUCAGGCCAGCAUCAGUUCGCGCCGGGGGACAAAGACUUCGGGAAUGUGGCUCCUCCGGGAGUGUUAUAGCCCGUUGUGUAAUACCCUGGGGCGGACUGAGGUUCGCGCAUCUGCAAGGAUGCUGGCGUAAUGGUCAUCAGCGA